AACGAACGCUGGCGGCAGGCCUAACACAUGCAAGUCGAGCGAGACCUUCGGGUCUAGCGGCGGACGGGUGAGUAACGCGUGGGAACGUGCCCUUUGCUACGGAAUAGCCCCGGGAAACUGGGAGUAAUACCGUAUGCGCCCUUCGGGGGAAAGAUUUAUCGGCAAAGGAUCGGCCCGCGUUGGAUUAGGUAGUUGGUGGGGUAAUGGCCUACCAAGCCGACGAUCCAUAGCUGGUUUGAGAGGAUGAUCAGCCACACUGGGACUGAGACACGGCCCAGACUCCUACGGGAGGCAGCAGUGGGGAAUCUUAGACAAUGGGGGAAACCCUGAUCUAGCCAUGCCGCGUGAGCGAUGAAGGCCUUAGGGUUGUAAAGCUCUUUCAGGUGGGAAGAUAAUGACGGUACCACCAGAAGAAGCCCCGGCUAACUCCGUGCCAGCAGCCGCCGUAA
rnacentral:rRNA from 1 species